ensembl:lncRNA
CGGGUGUGGACCAACACACUGCUCAUCAAGCCACGCUGUCAUGGCAUCCCACGUAGAAAAUACAAGAAGAUUGGCACAGAUGUUAGCUCAAGGCCAAUCUUCCUCACCAAAAAAGAUGGGUGAAGACAUUUGUUCAGGGGAGCUAUUUCUACCUGCAAGUCCCCAUCCACCUUCUUGGGACACGGGUUGGCCCAGAGCCCAAAGAGGGAGGCGACUUCACAACCUUUGAAAAGUGUCCCCAAGGCAGGAUGCCCAGGACUCUUGCUGACUCUGCCUUAAGGAAGCUGAGGGCCGCGAGGCGAAACUGUGACGCCGGUAGGAGCACAGAGGAGGAGCCCGUCCUGCCUGGGGAGCCUGAGGGGCCCUCUCGGAGCUGAGUCUAAGGGAACAGACGGAAACUACUACUGUGCUGCUCACUCUGCACUCGGCCAGGCCAUGCGCUGCACACGGAUCUGUGUAGGGAAGUCGCAGCCACCCUUUGAGGCAUCUGUCAUCAUCACAUUCGACAGCUCAGGCCAUUGAGGCCCAACCGGGGGACGUGGCUUACUCAGGGUCACAGCUUGUGGCUGGAGCUCUCGUGGGAUGCUGGCCACACACUCCCAGCUGCCACCCUGCAGAACCACACGGGGCUUGUCUGCUGAAAGGCCAGAGGGACUGAGAACCACGAGAUACCACUUCACACCCAUUAGGAUGGCGAUAAUGACAAUUAUUAUAGUAAUAGUAAAACAGACAGGAAGUAUGGGCCAGUGUGUGGAGAAAUUGGAACCCUGGAACCCUCGUGCAUUGCUGGUGGGGAUGUAAAAUGGUGUAACCACUGUGGAAAAACUCUAGAAGUUUCUAGAAAGUGAAGCAUGGCGGCCAGCCCCAUGGCUGAGUGGUUAAGUUUGGCGUGGUCUUCUUCGGCGGCUGGGGUUUGGUUCUUGGGCGUGAACCUGCACCACUCGUUUUUGGCCAUGCUGUGGCAGCAACCCACAUACAAAACAGAGGAAGAUUGGCACAGAUGUUAGCUCAGGACAAAUCUUCCUCAGGAAAAAAAAAGUUAAACCACGUGACCCAGCAACUCCACUCCUCACUGGAUACAUAAAAGAACUGAAAACAUGUUCAUACAAAAACUUGUACAUGAAGGCUCAGAGCAGCAGGAUCCAUAGCAAAGGUGGAAACAACACAAAUGUCUACAGGCCAAUGAAUGGAUAAACAGAGUGUGCUUGACCCUUGUAAGGGAAUAUUACUCAGCCCUGAAAAGGAAAGAAAUACUGAGACACACUGCAACAGAGGAGAACUCAAACUUUGCACGAAAGAUGAUGAACGUUUCGCUCCGUGAAAGAAGCCAGACACGAAAGGCCACAUAUUGUGCGAUUCCAUUCAUAGGAAAUGUCCAGAACAGGCAAGUCCAUAGAGACAGAGAGUAGAGGAGUGGGUGCCAGGGGCCGGGGGAGGGAGCAUGGGGGGUUUGCAGGUUUCUUUUUGGGGUGACGGGAAUAUUCCAGAAUCAAAUAGUGGUGAUGGUUGUACAAGAUUGUGAAUCUACUGGAAAAUCUUGAAAAGGCAAAAAUGUGAAUUGAUUUCAAUUAAAUAUGCAUAUAUUUACCUCAUAUAUAUAUAUAUGAAUGUAAAUUGGUGCAUACAUUAUGGAAAACAGUAUGGCAUUUCCUCAAAAAAUUAAAAAUAGAACUACCAUAUGAUCCAGAUAUUCCACUUCUGGGUAUUUAUCUGAAGGAAAUGAAAGCAGUGUCUCAAGAAGAUUUCUGGGUAGCUCAGGGCCAAUCUUCCUCAGCAAAAAGAUGAGGAUUGGCAACAGAAGUUAACUCAGGGCCAAUCUUCUUCACCAAAAAAAAAAAAGAGAGAGAGAGAGAUAUCUACAUCUCCAAGGUCAUUGCAACAUUCUUUUUUUAAAAUUGAGAUAGAAUUGACACUGCAGCAUUCUCCACCAGAGCCAAGAUCUGGAAACAACCUAAGUGCCCAUCGAUGGAUGAGUGGAUAAAGAAGAUGCGGUGUAUGCAGACAAUGGGAUAUUAUUCACCAUGAUAAAGAAGGAAAUCCUGCCAUUCACGAGGACACGGAUUGACCUUGAGGACAUUAUGCUCAGUGAAAACAGCCAGAUGAAGAAAGUCAAAUACUGUGUGAUCUCACUUAUAGGUGGAAUCUGAAAGUACCAAACUCCUAGGUAGGGAAACAGAUCGGUGGCCGCCGGUGGCGGGGGAUGGGGGAUGGGAAAAUGGGCGCAGGGGGUCAAAACUUCCCCCAUUUUGCAGGGACAAACUUCCAGUUAUAAGAUAAUUAAGUUCCGGGGGUGUGACGUGCAGCAUGGUGACUAAAAACAAUUUUUUAAAAAUAUGUAAAUAAUGAGGAUUUUUAGGCUGCUUAAUUUUAAAACGGUUUAUGAUGAGGAUUUUAGGCUGGUUACUUUUAAAACUACAGAUGAGAAGCAGGCUCCAAGGACUGGAAUUUUGCUUGCCCUUUUGAGAGACAUUUGCGUUUGUGAAGGAAGGGGGAUGACCUUGUAGGGACCUGAAAUUGGCCACCCCAGGAUAUGUCUCUUUGGCAUCAGGAUUGUUUUGGGCUGAUUGCUUUCGAUAAACUGGGACAGGGAAGGAGGCUCUGGGGCUAUCUGUAAAAGGUGCCUCCCUCUCUGUACCAGGAAGAAGAAGAGAGAUGACCUUGUCCCUAAAAACUCUUAAUGGGGAAGGCAAGAACUUAAGUUGGUUGCUGUCUGGCAAUCUCAUGUAACUGAUUUAGGGUGGUGGCUUCUGACCUUUACUUAAUCCGAUUUGAUUCUUGUCUAAAAGUCAUGGGAUCACCCAAUGACCAGACCCCACCUGCACUGAUACCAUUUUAACUUUUUUUCAUGUUCUUUCCUUUGUCUUCGUAAAGAGAUGACUCACAUACCUAUGCCUUAAAUUUAGCCCUAACCCUCAACUCAGGGCAGCAGCAGGAGCUCUGACUGCCUGUGGGUCCUGUCCCCAUGCCAGCGGGGGCAGCAGAAGCGGCAGCAAAAGCUCUGACUGCCCAUGGGUCCUGUCCCCAUGCUACACUAUUCUCUAAAUAAAAGAGCACUACUGCCAGAUCUUAAGAGUCUAAGAAAUCUUUCUUUCGACUCCUCGGCUCACCGACCCCACAUCAGUAAAUAUAUGAAGGAUGAGGGCGCUGCCGUCCCGGGAGCAGCGUCCCCCGGCAGGGACGGGUUGGUGUGGAAUCUCCCCAUCGCCAGGAGUUCUCUGUGAGACAGGACCCCAGCUGCCCCCAAAGUGGAGCCCCCUUAAUGCUCCCCUUGCCUGGGCCCCUCCCUGACCCCCGGCUCCAGACGUUUCCUAGGACCACCUCCCAGACUGGCCACCUGUGCGCCAGGUCUCGUCUCAGAGCCUGCUUUUGGGGGAACAUCAACGAAGACAGCAGCCCCGGUCUGCUCAAAGCUGGUGCUCCGAUCCCUGUGCCAACCUUGUGGAUCCAAAGCUCCAGGAACCUUUUGUAAAUGCGGUGGGAAGGGCUUCUGGGCUGGAGGAACAGCAUGCGCAGAAUGCUCCGAGACGAGAGACGUUCAUUCAUUCAACAAACACGUAUUGAUCCCCCACCUCUCGGGAGUAGACGCUGAGGCAGGUGCGGGGGCGGACGGGGUCCCUGCCCUUCUGGAGCUCACGGAAAUGGAGUCACAGACAAGCAAGUCAAUCCAAAGAACUUCCGCAAGGGGAUGAAGAGUCAGUGACCAAACCGUUAGGGCCAGCGCCGGGCAGCGAGUGGGGUGUGGCCCAGCAUGGAAGGCGGGCGUUCUGGAAAGUUUUCAGGAGGCGGCUCAGGCCACAAGAAGGGAGGGGCCGCCUGUGUCAGGGAUGAGGGGAAGGGCAUUUGAGGCUGCAGGAACUGCAAGGUGGCCACACCAGGGCUCAGGGUGAGGGGAGAGCCGGCGUAACGCCGGGGAGCGGGCUGUGGGUACCUCUGCCCGGGUCCGCAGGCCUCUGCUCUGCCGGGGCCCGGUCCUGGGGGCUGCCCGAGACCGCUUGGCACCCUGGAGGAAGCCCUGCCUUUCCUGGCGGCAGGCGAGGCCAGAGGACCAGCAGCUUCCCUUUUCCUCCAGGAAGCGCCAAGGGUGUGGAAGCGCGGGCAGCGCACGGCCCCGGUCCCAUCUGCCCCCGUUACCACCCCCUCCUCACCUCAGGAAACGGCCCUCCAGCUUCCAGGGCUCCGGCCAGGACCAGGUUCCCCUUGACCCUGCGCUGCCACGCGUCCCAGAGCCCCAUGUGGCCCUGCCACCGAAAUGGAUGCCAAAUUCGGCCCCUUCUCCAAUGCCACUGCCACUGGCCCAGGCCUCAUCCUUGUCCCCUCCUCUCCACUCUCCGUCCUUCCCCUUGUCCUCCCCAUCCCCUGAGUGUAGCUCCCGCAGCCUCAGGAGGGCACCUAGAAACACCUGAGUCAGGGCCUGUCCGUCCUCUGCUCAGAACCUUCCAUGGCUCCCACUUCGCUCAGAGCAAAGCCAAAGUGCCCCUCCCCCCAGGCGACAAGCACCUGCAUGCUCUGCCCCAUCCCCGCCUGCCCUCUCCAAUUCUAACUCUUUUCAUUUCUCC